rnacentral:rRNA from 1 species
AGCGAACGCUGGCGGCAGGCCUAACACAUGCAAGUCGAACGCAUCGCAAGAUGAGUGGCAGACGGGUGAGUAACGCGUGGGAACAUACCCUUUUCUACGGAAUAGCUCUGGGAAACUGGAAUUAAUACCGUAUACGCCCUACGGGGGAAAGAUUUAUCGGGGAAGGAUUGGCCCGCGUUGGAUUAGCUAGUUGGUGGGGUAAAGGCCUACCAAGGCGACGAUCCAUAGCUGGUCUGAGAGGAUGAUCAGCCACAUUGGGACUGAGACACGGCCCAAACUCCUACGGGAGGCAGCAGUGGGGAAUAUUGGACAAUGGGCGCAAGCCUGAUCCAGCCAUGCCGCGUGAGUGAUGAAGGCCUUAGGGUUGUAAAGCUCUUUCACCGAUGAAGAUAAUGACGGUAGUCGGAGAAGAAGCCCCGGCUAACUUCGUGCCAGCCGCCGCUGUAAUAC